CUGCCCAAAUUUCUGUUUUGGGUAGAAAAAUUAAGAAGGAAGCCUUUUUCCUUCCUUUGGUGUCAAGGCCUACACUGUGGGCCAACGUCCUGACGGCCGGCCUCUUCCGGUUCCCUCCCCAUUUGCCCUCACAGGUGUUUCCCUUAUAAAUCUUGCACAGCUUGGUCUUGUUUUGGCAUUUGUUUCUCAGAGGACCAGGUUUAACAAGGUUCAGGGAUCACUUGACAGAUUGUCUUUGGGAAGACACCUUCUUAUAGCCAUAGUUGUUAUGUUUGGAAUGGACUUGACCAUCCCCUCCUCUUGGUCUGGAGCUGUGGACAGUGAAGCCAGCCUAUCUAGGAAGAAAAAGGUACGUUCUUCGCAAAGAUUGCUCAGUACGUACAUUGAUGACUUAGAAUGUUGGGAGCCUCCAUGUUU
rnacentral:lncRNA from 1 species